rnacentral:rRNA from 1 species
UGGGGAAUAUUGCACAAUGGACGGAAGUCUGAUGCAGCAACGCCGCGUGCGGGAUGACGGCCUUCGGGUUGUAAACCACUUUUUCUCAUGACGAAGUUUUUUGACGGUAGUGGGGGAAGAAGCACCGGCUAACUACGUGCCAGCAGCCGCGGUGAUACGUAGGGUGCGAGCGUUGUCCGGAAUUAUUGGGCGUAAAGAGCUUGUAGGCGGUUUGUCGCGUCGAUAGUGCAAACUCAGUGCUUAACGCUGAGCCUGCUGUUGAUACGGGCAGACUAGAGGAAGGUAGGGGAGAAUGGAAUUCCCGGUGGAGCGGUGGAAUGCGCAGAUAUCGGGAGGAACACCGGUGGCGAAGGCGGUUCUCUGGGCCUUUCCUGACGCUGAGAAGCGAAAGCGUGGGGAGCGAACAGG